GGCACGCUAGAUGCUAGAUCCCCUUCCGGCAGGCCAACGGCGGUCUGCGCAUCACGACAAAGGCGUCGC
ncrna:unclassified sequences narK RNA